rnacentral:rRNA from 1 species
UACGAGGGGGGCAAGCGUUGUUCGGAAUUAUUGGGUUUAAAGGGUGCGUAGGCGGCCUUAUAAGUCAGUGGUGAAAUCUCGAUGCUUAACAUCGAACGUGCCAUUGAUACUGUAGGUCUUGAGUACAGAUGCCGUUGGCGGAAUGUGUCAUGUAGCGGUGAAAUGCAUAGAUAUGACACAGAACACCGAUUGCGAAGGCAGCUGACGAAACUGUAACUGACGCUGAGGCACGAAAGCGUGGGGAUCAAACAGG